GAGUUUGAUCGUGGCUCAGAUUGAACGCUGGCGGCAUGCCUUACACAUGCAAGUCGAACGGCAGCACGGGAGCUUGCUCCUGGUGGCGAGUGGCGAACGGGUGAGUAAUGCAUCGGAACGUAUCCUGGAGUGGGGGAUAACGUAGCGAAAGUUACGCUAAUACCGCAUAUUCUGUGAGCAGGAAAGCGGGGGACCUUCGGGCCUCGCGCUCUUGGAGCGGCCGAUGUCGGAUUAGCUAGUUGGUGAGGUAAAGGCUCACCAAGGCGACGAUCCGUAGCAGGUCUGAGAGGAUGAUCUGCCACACUGGAACUGAGACACGGUCCAGACUCCUACGGGAGGCAGCAGUGGGAAUUUUGGACAAUGGGGGCAACCCUGAUCCAGCCAUGCCGCGUGAGUGAAGAAGGCCUCGGUUGUAAGG
rnacentral:rRNA from 1 species